GGCUCAGAUUGAACGCUGGCGGCAUGCCUUACACAUGCAAGUCGAACGGCAGCACGGGAGCUUGCUCCUGGUGGCGAGUGGCGAACGGUGAGUAAUACAUCGGAACGUACCCUGAAGUGGGGGAUAACGUAGCGAAAGUUACGCUAAUACCGCAUAUUCUGUGAGCAGGAAAGAGGGGGAUCGCAAGACCUCUUGCUUUAGGAGCGGCCGAUGUCGGAUUAGCUAGUUGGUGAGGUAAAGGCUCACCAAGGCGACGAUCCGUAGCGGGUCUGAGAGGAUGAUCCGCCACACUGGGACUGAGACACGGCCCAGACUCCUACGGGAGGCAGCAGUGGGGAAUUUUGGACAAUGGGCGCAAGCCUGAUCCAGCCAUGCCGCGUGAGUGAAGAAGGCCUUCGGGUUGUAAAGCUCUUUCGGUGGGGAAGAAAUUGCACAGGAUAAUACCUUGUGUAGAUGACGGUACCCGCAUAAGAAGCACCGGCUAACUACGUG
rnacentral:rRNA from 1 species